UGAACCGUUAUAACCGGCGAUACCCGAAUGGGGAAACCCAGUGUGAUUCGUCACACUAUCAUUAACUGAAUCCAUAGGUUAAUGAGGCGAACCGGGGGAACUGAAACAUCUAAGUACCCCGAGGAAAAGAAAUCAACCGAGAUUCCCCCAGUAGCGGCGAGCGAACGGGGAGGAGCCCAGAGCCUGAAUCAGCAUGUGUGUUAGUGGAAGCGUCUGGAAAGGCGCGCGAUACAGGGUGACAGCCCCGUACACAAAAGCGCAUGUGCUGUGAGCUCGAUGAGUAGGGCGGGACACGUGGUAUCCUGUCUGAAUAUGGGGGGACCAUCCUCCAAGGCUAAAUACUCCUGACUGACCGAUAGUGAACCAGUACCGUGAGGGAAAGGCGAAAAGAACCCCGGCGAGGGGAGUGAAAAAGAACCUGAAACCGUGUACGUACAAGCAGUGGGAGCACAGGUUUACCUGUGUGACUGCG
rnacentral:rRNA from 1 species